rnacentral:rRNA from 1 species
GAGUUUGAUCAUGGCUCAGGAUGAACGCUAGCGGCAGGCCUAAUACAUGCAAGUCGAGGGGCAGCAGGAUAGCAAUAUCGCUGGCGACCGGCGCACGGGUGCGUAACACGUAUACAAUCUGCCCUUAACUGGGGGAUAGCCCGGAGAAAUCCGGAUUAAUACCCCAUAACAGUAGAAGGGGCAUCUCUUUUAUUUGAAAGUUCCGACGGUUAAAGAUGAGUAUGCGUCUGAUUAGUUAGUUGGUGAGGUAACGGCUCACCAAGACAGCGAUCAGUAGGGGAUCUGAGAGGAUUAACCCCCACACGGAUACUGAGACACGGAUCCGACUCCUACGGGAGGCAGCAGUAAGGAAUAUUGGACAAUGCCCGCAAGGGUGAUCCAGCCAUGCCGCGUGCAGGAAGACGGCCCUAUGGGGUUGUAAACUGCUUUUAUACGGGAGAAAACCCCUUUACGUGUAGAGGGCUGAUAGUACCGUAAGAAUAAGCAUCGGCUAACUUCGUGCCAGCAGCCGCCGUAAC